UACGUAGGGUGCGAGCGUUAAUCGGAAUUACUGGGCGUAAAGUGUGCGCAGGCGGCCGAGCAAGUCGAGUGUGAAAGCCCCGGGCUUAACUUGGGAAUUGCGCUCGAAACUACUUGGCUGGAGUGUGGCAGAGGAAGGUGGAAUUCCAGGUGUAGCGGUGAAAUGCGUAGAGAUCUGGAGGAACGCCGGCGGCGAAAGCGACUCUCUGGCCUGUAACUGACGCUGAGGCGCGAAAGCUAGGGGAGCAAACGGG
rnacentral:rRNA from 1 species